UACGUAGGGGGCAAGCGUUGUCCGGAAUCAUUGGGCGUAAAGCGCGUGUAGGCGGUUCAGUAAGUCUGCUGUGAAAGUCCAGGGCUCAACCCUGGGAUGCCGGUCGAUACUGCCGGACUAGAGUUCGGAAGAGGCGAGUGGAAUUCCCGGUGUAGCGGUGAAAUGCGCAGAUAUCGGGAGGAACACCUAUGGGCGAAGGCAGCUCGCUGGGACGUUACUGACGC
rnacentral:rRNA from 1 species